AGGAGCCGUGUGAGGUGAAAGUCUCAUGCACGGUUCUGAAGGGUCGGGGAUGGAGGCGACUCCAUUCCCGAUCCCUAAC
rnacentral:ncRNA from 2 species